rnacentral:lncRNA from 1 species
AUCCCACCACCUGGAGAAAACCACAGGAACCCUUUAUAGGAUAGCUUCUCAUUCUUUCUGUGCAAAAAUAUAAAUAUUUUAGUAUUUUAUAAACAUAUGAUUAUAACCUCCAUGUUGUUUUUUAACUUGUUUUUUAAAAUUGUAAUCAACAAUAUAUUGUGAGCAUUAUACAAAUAUAUUUUCACCUAUGACAUCAUUUUAAAUGAAUGAAUAGAAUUACAUUCUACAGAUAUAUUAUAAUUUUUUUUGAUAUAUUAUAAUUUACUUAAACAAUUACCUCAUUACCAGGCAAGACUUUGAAAUCUAUUGCUAUAUUCUUUUUUUUUUUUAUUGCUAUAUUCUAAUAACCAGUUGGAAACUUCUAUUUCAGAUAAAUACAUUUUGGCUCUCUCAGCCUGCCGGACCCCUGGCAUGAAUCAAGGAGAAGUAGCUCAGGAGGCUCCCAUGGUACUUAAAACAGUUCACGCUUGGAACAUUCAGCCCAUGGUUCAUUGUACAACUUUCUGAUAACACGCAGUGGCCAGACUUCUGCUUCUCGACCAUAGAAACCUAUCCCUCAAGGUCCAGAACCAAGCAGUCUCCUCUCCUGACCAGCCUCUAUUUUCCAUCAAAAUCUCUGCCCACACCCUUCAAUUUUUGAACUAGGAGGCUGUGAUAGGACCAUAGAAGCUUUGAAUAUAAACACAUCUACUUGUAUGAUUUAUCAGCUGCGGGGAAAAAAUGAAGACUCCUUUAGUAUUUGGAUCAGAAUCCACCAAAGUAUUUAUUUCAAACAGGCGUAAAUGGAGGAAGCUAAUACCAGUGACUGACCUCCAGGAAAUUGAUCCCCCACUGACAGUGGAAUGCAUGGCAUCUGAACUUCAUGUGCGUGGGCCACCAUGGAUGCACAGUUUCAGACAAUCAAGCAAGGCGUUGAGACCAGAUCUAGUUGUUUCAUUUAGCACGUUGAUUCCAGGAGUUCUGGUGAAGACAAAUGUAAUAAAAAUUUUUGAUCUGAUGCAAAAUUAUUUUCUUCUUGCCAACACUCUCAGAAUUCUUCUCUCCCAUUACUUUGUGAUGCUUUGGUUAUGUAAGCCUUCUCUUCCCAGGUCUAAUUUUGAUCUCAGGUGUGCUGGAAUCUGACUCACUCAUGUGUGUCUGGAGUCAGUGAGCAGAGGUGGGGUGGGCCACAGAGGACGUCCUCUUGCACAGCCACCACUCAAUGAACUUAACUGUUUUUAGAACAAGAUGGAGCCAACCUCAUGGGAAUGGGAGGAAAGGCAGGAAGCUCUGUUGAGUUUCAGACAAAGUAUCUCCAUCCCAGCACACAGGGGAAGAACCACUUUUUCCCAACAAAUAUCCUGAAAGGCCUGGUGAAACUGAAUUCAAUCUAUUUUUGUGAUUCGUCAGUCUUCAGGAUCCAUCUCUGCCUCUGUUUUUCGG